rnacentral:rRNA from 1 species
AACGAACGCUGGCGGCAUGCCUAACACAUGCAAGUCGAACGAGACCUUCGGGUCUAGUGGCGCACGGGUGCGUAACGCGUGGGAACCUGCCCUUAGGUUCGGAAUAACUCCCCGAAAGGGGUGCUAAUACCGGAUAAUGUCUUCGGACCAAAGAUUUAUCGCCUUUGGAUGGGCCCGCGUUGGAUUAGCUAGUUGGUAGGGUAAAAGCCUACCAAGGCGACGAUCCAUAGCUGGUCAGAGAGGAUGAUCAGCCACACUGGGACUGAGACACGGCCCAGACUCCUACGGGAGGCAGCAGUGGGGAAUAUUGGACAAUGGGCGAAAGCCUGAUCCAGCAAUGCCGCGUGAGUGAUGAAGGCCUUAGGGUUGUAAAGCUCUUUUACCCGGGAUGAAAAUGACAGUACCGGGAGAAUAAGCUCCGGCUAACUCCGUG